UAGGGAAUCUUCCGCAAUGGGCGAAAGCCUGACGGAGCAACGCCGCGUGAGUGAAGAAGGAUUUCGGUUCGUAAAGCUCUGUUGUUAGGGAAGAAUGAUUGUGUAGUAACUAUACACAGUAGAGACGGUACCUAACCAGAAAGCCACGGCUAACUACGUGCCAGCAGCCGCGGUAAUACGUAGGUGGCAAGCGUUGUCCGGAAUUAUUGGGCGUAAAGCGCACGCAGGCGGUCUGUCAAGUCGGAUGUGAAAUCCCCGGGCUCAACCUGGGAACUGCAUUCGAAACUGGCAGGCUAGAGUCUUGUAGAGGGGGGUAGAAUUCCAGGUGUAGCGGUGAAAUGCGUAGAGAUCUGGAGGAAUACCGGUGGCGAAGGCGGCCCCCUGGACAAAGACUGACGCUCAGGUGCGAAAGCGUGGGGAGCAAACAGGAUUAGAUACCCUGGUAGUCCACGCCGUAAACGAUGUCGAUUUGGAGGUUGUGCCCUUGAGGCGUGGCUUCCGGAGCUAACGCGUUAAAUCGACCGCCUGGGGAGUACGGCCGCAAGGUUA
rnacentral:rRNA from 1 species